GCGAGAGUGGCGGAAUUGGCAGACGCACCAGAUUUAGGUUCUGGCGGGGAGACCCGUGGGGGUUCGAGUCCCCCCUCUCGCA
rnacentral:tRNA from 1 species